GCCGCCCAAUCAGAAGAAAGGGUGCAAAACUCGGUUGCACCAAUCAGCGCUCGGGGAGGAGAGGGGUUUCGCCCAACAGAGGAAUGGCGCAAACCCAGUUUAAAUGGUUGCUCCUUCUCCCAUUAGUCGGCGCGGACUUCCAGGCAGCCAGCGGGACCUCUGUGGCAGUGCAGCUCCAGGGAUUCUGCUGGGGCUCGCGCCUCUCUCUGGGGUUACCUCCACUUAGGUAGCACCGGAGAGAGCGCUCCUUGGGCAGUUCCGAGCCUGGACUCGCAGCU